GAUGAACGCUGGCGGCGUGCCUAAUACAUGCAAGUCGAGCGAACAGAUGAGGAGCUUGCUCCUCUGACGUUAGCGGCGGACGGGUGAGUAACACGUGGAUAACCUACCUAUCAGACUGGGAUAACUUCGGGAAACCGGAGCUAAUACCGGAUAAUAUCUUGAACCGCAUGGUUCAAUAGUGAAAGACGGUUUUGCUGUCACUUAUAGAUGGAUCCGCGCCGCAUUAGCUAGUUGGUAAGGUAACGGCUUACCAAGGCAACGAUGCGUAGCCGACCUGAGAGGGUGAUCGGCCACGCUGGAACUGAGACACGGUCCAUACGCCUACGGGAGGCAGCAGUAGGGAAUCUUCCGCAAUGGGCGAAAGCCUGACGGAGCAACGCCGCGUGAGUGAUGAAGGUCUUCGGAUCGUAAAACUCUGUUAUUAGGGAAGAACAAAUGUGUAAGUAACUAUGCACUGCUUGACGGUACCUAAUCAGAAAGCCACGGCUAACUACGUG
rnacentral:rRNA from 1 species